rnacentral:rRNA from 1 species
UACGAAGGGGGCUAGCGUUGCUCGGAAUUACUGGGCGUAAAGCGCACGUAGGCGGCUUUCUAAGUCGGGGGUGAAAUCCUGGAGCUCAACUCCAGAACUGCCUUCGAUACUGGAGAGCUCGAGUCCGGGAGAGGUGAGUGGAACUGCGAGUGUAGAGGUGAAAUUCGUAGAUAUUCGCAAGAACACCAGUGGCGAAGGCGGCUCACUGGCCCGGUACUGACGCGGAGGUGCGAAAGCGUGGGGAGCAAACAGG